rnacentral:misc_RNA from 1 species
GCUACUACCGAUUGAAUGGUUUAGCGAGAUGCUCGGAUCGGGCCCAGCUCGUGCGAAAGAAUGUGCCGGGACUGAGAAGAAGUUCAAGCUUGAUCAUUUAGAGGAAGUAAAAGUCGUAACAAGGUUUUCGUAGGUGAACCUGCAGAAGGAUCAAGAUCGGAAAAGGGUCGUGUAGGGAAGGAGGGUAGAUCUCGGGGGUCGCCGAUUCAUUAAAAAAAAAAAAGAACCCUACGAUGAUAUCUGACGACUCAAAUGCACAAAAAGCUGUCAUCUGCAC